UUUUGGACUCAGUCUAUCAGUCACUCUGUUGUUUCACAGUGUUUCUAACAGUAAACAUCCCAAACCUACCUGCUGUCUCCUGGAAUUAAAGAACCUGUUAGCUAUCUGCCAAGAUAGCCACUAUGUCCACAUCAUAGCAGAAUAAUUAUAAUUUCUUUAUUCUAAUAUUCCAAUAUUUUGAGAUUGACUUUCAUGAGCUGUGAGCUGUAAUCAUCAAGAUUAAAAUAAAAAAAAUUAAUAUAAGCCCUAAAAUGAUGGUCGAGGGCCUUGAAGCAGAUAA